CAGGUGCAUGCCUCUAGCAUGAAGUCAGACAAGUGAA
rnacentral:rRNA from 6 species